GCAGUAGUCGCCUCGGACUGACUGGUCAUAUUAUAUACCAUUGUUUGAUUGUUGAAGAGCUCAAAGAGGAAUCAUACAAAUACGAAGCUUGUCUGCACAACGAAGGAGCACAAAACAAUUCUAAAUAUCCAGAAAACUAUGAAACGUGCAUGAACUUCGCUCGAGUUCUGAGGAGUUUCUUUCAAGUGUUAACAAACACACGGGGAAACCAGAAUUGGAAGCUUUGCUCACUCCUUCGAGCUAAUGGAGGAAAUAAAACUGGCAAAAAUGCUGCUGAUGACGAAGAGAAUCCCCAACA